UUUUUUUUUUUUUUUUUUUCUUUUUUUUUUUCUUUCUUUCCUCUUUUGGCCACCUCGCCGCAUAUGGAAGUCCCAGGGCCAAGGAUCAAAUCCAAACUGUACUUGCAGCCUGUGCCAUAGCUGCGGCGACACCCGAUCCUUUAACCCACUGUGCCAGACUGGGGAUCAAACUUGAGUCUAGUGCUGCAGAAAUGCUGCCGAUCCUGUCGUAGCGCCACAGUUAGGUUAGCCCAAACCCUAAUCUAGGUGCGCGUCUCUAGUGUGUGGACACAACUCUGAAUAUUGCUUGUGUGCACAUUGCUGUGCUGAGAGGCACAGGUUGUCUGGGUUCCAAUCACAGCCAUGUGACCUUGACAGGGAAAUUAACCAGUCUUGGCUGUGCAAGUGUGUGUGUGUGUGUGUGUGUGUGUGUGUGUGUGUUUCUCUGAGGCUCGCUUCAUGUCGUCAUCUUGGACAGGAAUUGUGUCAGCUUUUUGAGGGCUGCACCCUUUGCAUAUGGAGGUUUCCAGGCUAGGGGGUCUAAUCCGAGCUGUAGCUGCCGGCCUACACCACAACCACAACCAUAGUAACACACGAUCAGAGCUGCAUCUUCGACCUACACCGCAGCUCACGGCAACGCCAGAUCCUUCACCCACUGAGUGAGGCCAGGGAUCGAACCUGCAACUUCAAGAUUCCUAAUCGGAUUCGUUUCCGCUGCACCACUGCAGGAACUCCUUUCUCUUGCUUUCUGAGCUAAAGAUCCAGCACUCAAAGUUCUGAGGGGGAAUUGACAGCAUCAGAGGCUAACUUUGGGUCUCAGGGGGGCUGCCUGGCCUGGGCGGGGAAGGGGUGCCCAUCCCUCUGGUGCCCUGUGUCCCCCUCAGCUCAGUCAUGCUUGUCACCCUCCCUCCCUCCCUAAACACACACACACACGCACACACACACAGGAUCUUUCUGAUGUCACUGCGGUUUCCCCAGGGGGCCCUACAUAGUGCUCCACAGCCGAGGUCGGAAACGGCAAAGAGCGUCUCUUUGUCCCCAUCCACAGAGUGGACUCCACUUGCUGGCCUCUGGCUCCCGAGGGCGACCCUGGUGUUUCAGGCCCAUGCAGCCACGGGGCUUGAGGUCAGGGAGGCCAGCUCUCAAUAGAGACCUUGUGUCUGAAAUAGAGACGGGGUGAGCUAUUCCAGGAUGGGCGUCCAGGAAGGGGCUUCUCGCCUCCUGCUGCUGGGAGCAGAGGAGGCCGCGAGGGAGGGCUUCUGGGAAAGAGUCUUAGGUUCAAGUCUGGGCUCUGCCAAUGACUGGUGGGGUGACCUUGGGCAGAUCAUUCUUCCUUUUUGAGCAUCGAGCCCCUCUGUCAAGUGGCUGUGGCUGCAUCUGGGGCUGGAUAUGUGUAAAGGGGGUUAUGCCCACAAAACCUCUGAAGGCUGCCUGGCUCAUAGGGAGCAUUGAUGCGCCUCAGCAGUGCUGGCUUAUCAUCGGCCCCCAUUUGUCUUUGCCCAGCCUCUCCAUCAUUGAGGCCCUCGCUCUCAGAGCCCUGCUGGCGGCCCUUCUGCAGUAGCUUUUCACAUAGUAGGCACUUGGGAUUUGUUCAACGAAUCAUUCAUUAAAAAUGAAGGUAGAGGAGUUCCCUUUGUGGCUGAGUGGGUUGAGAACCCGACCAGUGUCCAUGAGGAUUGAUCCCUGGCCUUACUCAGUGGGUGAAGAAUCCGGCGAUGCCGUGAGUUGUGGUGUAGGUCCCCGAUGUGACUUGGAUCCUGGAUCCCAUGUUGCUGUGGCUGUGGGGUAGGUUGGGCAGUUGCAGCUGUGAUUCAAGACCCCUAGCUUGGGAACCUCCAUAUGCCGCAAGUGUGGCCCUAAAAAGCAAAGAAAAAAAAAAAAGGAGCCUGGUGCUCCUCAAUGUUAUGGAAGUUGAUGCAGUAGUAAUAGUGCUGACCAGAGCCUCUGACCCUUGAACGAGGUUAAGCCAGCAUUCUCUGAAGGCCUAGCAUGGAUUCUUCUCCUUUAUCCGCUCCACUCUUUGAGGUGGAGAUGUGAUUUAUUCCCAUUUUACAGAUGCAGGAACUGUGGCAGAGAGAGCUUAAAUUACUUGCCCAGGAACAUAGAAAGGAAGUCAUCCCUUCAUUUAAGGGUCUCCGUCGUAGGACGUUACAAGUCAUCACCGAGCUCAGAGUUGUCCCGGCCAGUUCUUGGGGAAAAUCACAACCAUUCCCACCGUGUAAGCCUGAAGAUGCUCAAUGUAUAAUCUUAAGUGUGUCUCCAUGUGUAAAUUUAGGCAGUGAUUGCACGUGCAGGAAGUCCCUUCUGCCUUUUCCUGAGGACAGCUCCCGCCCCAUACUGCUGAGUUUGUGCAUUCCCAGUAAGGUGGGCUUUGGGGAAGCCCUCUCUCCCUGCUUCCUGGUACCUCUUCUUCUGCAGUGUUCCCAGGGGCCCAGUGUCCCAGUGCACUAUCUCCCGUCCAGCUUUUCCUGCCUUUCUCUGAAAGAACUCAUCCGUGUGGAGGUUGAGUUGAUUAUGGAAUCCAUUCCAGAGAGCAUUGCAUCACAUUGAGGUCCAAAGUCAGAGAAUUGAUUCUGAAGCUUAUAUUGAAGGAGAGAGAGAGAGAGAGAGAGAGGGAGAGAGAGAGAGAGAGAGAGAGAGAGAGAGAGAGUGUGUGUGUGUGUGUGUCUUUGAGAGAGAAGGACAUGGAGACAGGAGGGUAUGUCAUCCCCCAUUUGAGACCUUGAAGUGGCUUCACACUGCGUUCAGAACAAAAUCCCGACUUCUGACCUUGACCUUCUGGUUCUCCCUACCACUCAGCUUCCUCUUGAUCUACUCUUUCCCCGCCACCUCCCGUCAAGCCCAGUUGGCUUUCUUUCUGUUCUGGGGUCACAAGUUCCGUCCUUCUUGGCACAAGAGGGCCGUAACCUCUGCAUGAUCCUCUCCUCCCUUGUCCAAGGUCUGUUCCCCAUCAUCCCUCAAAUCUCAGGUCAAGUGCCACCAGCCGCCCUUACUCUUUCUCACUCCAUUCCUUUUCUCUUUCACUUGCAGCUUGUAUUACAUGGUUGCUUUAAUGAUAGAUUGGUUGGUGGGUUCGUGGGUUGAUUGCAUGUCUUCCCUCCUUGAACUGUAAACUCGAAGAGGGCACCGGUGACCGUAUCUGUGUUAUUCACCAAGGUACCUGCUACCUCACAUAGUGCUGGUACCUGGGAGGUGCACCCACUGUUUGUUGAUUGAAUGCUUGAUGUUCCUCCUGGCACCUUUCCUUCCAGCAGUGUAGGCAUAGACCAAGCAGGCUGUGAGCUCCAGGAGAGACUUUGAGGCUGUGAUUUCCUUGUUGCACAAUGAAUAUGAACCCCAGGGAGGACCAGUUGACUCAGUGGCGGCCACUGGAGAAAUUUGUUGGCUGGAUCAUGGUGCUUAUAUUUAAAAUACAGUGGUUCUGGAGGUUUUUUGUUUGUUUGUUUUUUCCUUCCCAGAGAAAUAUUUGCUUUAUCUGUGACUGUGUGUAUUUUAUUGGAACAGGGCAAGAGGAUGCCGACCUGCGAUGUGAAAACAUAGUUUCCAGAGGAGACUCUGUCACUGGCUUAAAAUUAGUAAAGGCUUAGCAGUGCGUGGUGGGGAGGGAGGGGGUUGUGGGGACCCGGUGAUUAAACUGCUGCCGUUUUGCUGUAGAUGGUGCUGCUUUUCUUUUAAAGGUAGGUUAAGGGGAUGAAAACCUUAAUUGGCAUAUCUACAAACAAGUUAUUGCUUCAGCCAUGAGAUAAUUGGUUGAGAAAAGGCCAUUAUGUUCCCAAUCUAGGUGCCCGGGAGUGUGUGGCGGGGCGGGAUGCGUGUAGAUGCUGAGAAGUCGCCGAGUUGGAGAAUGAACUUCAGGUUAAAGCCUGUUUGUUCCCACAUCAGUCGAGUUUUCUGUUUUCCAAGGUAUAAUGCAGAGGGAGACCGGCUUUUCCUGCCGCUUUCAGGCCGGUGCCUGGCGUUGUCCACUCACUCCCUCGACUCCCACAGCAUCAGAACCUCAGCCGACCUUGGGUCUGCUGAGAAAGACCCGAGGAAACGCAGGUCCUGAUUUUUCAGGGCGGGGGCGACUCUGGAAAGGGGAUGAGAUGCUCAGCUUCCGACCCCAUGCUUUCCUGCCACUUCAAAAUCAUCUCUUAGGGGUUGACUUGUGUCCCCCGAAAGGCAGAUGUGUCCCCCCAGAUGUCUAUGUUGGAAUCCUAACCCUCGGUACCGUGGACUGUGUGACCCGAUUUGGAAAGAGGGUCCUGGCAGGUGUAAUAGUAAAGAUGCGGUCGUUCUGGAGUAGGAUGGGUACUGAUCCAGUGUGACUGGUGUCCUUAUAAAAAGAGGAAAUCAGGACACAGACAUGCACCCUGGGCGUCUGCUGUGUGAACUUGGAGGUGGACAUUGGGGUGAUGCUUUUAUAAGCCAAGGGGCUCUCAGGAUCAGCCACCAGAAGCUAAGAGAGAGGCACGGAACAGGCCCUCAGAAGACACUGACCCUGCCAACACCUUGAUCUCAGACCUCCAGCCUCCAGAACUGGGAGACAAUACAGUUCCUUUUUUUUUUGUUUUUUUGUUUUUUGUCUUUUUAGGGCCGCACCCUCGGCAUAUAGAGGUUCCCAGGCUAAGGAUCAAACUGCAGCUGUAGCUGCAGGCCUAUAACACAGCCACAGCAACACCGGAUCCUUAACCCACUGAGCCAGGCCAGGGCUCAAACCUGCGUCCUCAUAGAUACUAGUCAGAUUCGUUUCCGCUGAGCCACGACGGGAACUCAAGGAUCCAGUGUUGCUUCAGCUGAUCCCUGGCUCAGGGACUCUAUAUGCUGCACCGCGG
rnacentral:lncRNA from 1 species